rnacentral:rRNA from 1 species
GACGAACGCUGGCGGCGUGCUUAACACAUGCAAGUCGAACGGAAAGGCCCUGCUUUUGUGGGGUGCUCGAGUGGCGAACGGGUGAGUAACACGUGAGUAACCUGCCCUUGACUUUGGGAUAACUUCAGGAAACUGGGGCUAAUACCGGAUAGGAGCUCCUGCUGCAUGGUGGGGGUUGGAAAGUUUCGGCGGUUGGGGAUGGACUCGCGGCUUAUCAGCUUGUUGGUGGGGUAGUGGCUUACCAAGGCUUUGACGGGUAGCCGGCCUGGGAGGGUGACCGGCCACAUUGGGACUGAGAUACGGCCCAGGCUCCUACGGGAGGCAGCAGUGGGGAAUAUUGCACAAUGGGCGGAAGCCUGAUGCAGCAACGCCGCGUGCGGGAUGACGGCCUUCGGGUGGUAAACCGCUUUCGCCUGUGACGAAGCGUGAGUGACGGUAGUGGGUAAAGAAGCACCGGCUAACUACGU